UGGAUCAUAAAGAAUUCAUGGGGAGCAAACUGGGGAGAGGACGGAUAUUACAAAAUAUGCAGAGGUCGCAAUGUUUGUGGAGUAGACUCCAUGGUCUCAAGUGUGGCGGCUUUGCAUACAAAGUCUCAGUAGCAUUGCCCUGUAAAUGACUGAUAUAAGUAACGGUAAUAUUAGUAUCCGUCAGUAUGUCUUAUCUCUGGAUAUGAACCUCUUUUUUCUUGGGCAAUGAUUUUCAUUGUACCAAAGAAAAGGGGUGUAUGCUAGAGAUGAUUAUUACUUAUUUGUGUUGUAACCAAGUGUUGUGAUGUAUAUCAGUCUACCUAUAUAUGAAUUUGGAACUUGGUAUUAUCUCUGGGCAGGCCAAUGGCAGAUUCCCCUUUAUUGUUUCUCCUUUUUCGCGGUAACUCUUGGCCUUGAUGAUGGUUGUAAUACAGAGAUGUUGAAUCCAGCUAUUGGAUACUAAUACUCG
rnacentral:lncRNA from 1 species